UACGUAGGGUCCGAGCGUUGUCCGGAAUUACUGGGCGUAAAGAGCUCGUAGGUGGUUUGUCGCGUUGUUCGUGAAAACUCACAGCUUAACUGUGGGCGUGCGGGCGAUACGGGCAGACUGGAGUACUGCAGGGGAGACUGGAAUUCCUGGUGUAGCGGUGGAAUGCGCAGAUAUCAGGAGGAACACCGGUGGGCGAAGGCGGGUCUCUGGGC
rnacentral:rRNA from 1 species